CGUGCCAGCAGCCGCGGUAAUACGUAGGCAGCAAGCGUUGUUCGGAGUUACUGGGCGUAAAGGGUGCGUAGGCGGUUCUCUAAGUCUGGUGUGAAAUCUCCCGGCUCAACUGGGAGGGUGCGCCGGAUACUGGGGGGCUAGAGUGUGGGAGAGGAAAGUGGAAUUCCUGGUGUAGCGGUGAAAUGCGUAGAUAUCAGGAGGAACACCUGUGGUGUAAACGGCUUUCUGGACCAUUACUGACGCUGAUGCACGAAAGCGUGGGUAGCAAACAGGAUUAGAUACCCUGGUAGUCCACGCCCUAAACGAUGCAUACUUGGUGUGGGCCAUUCAUUUGGUCCGUGCCGGAGCUAACGCGUUAAAUAUGCCGCCUGGGGAGUACAGUCGCAAGG
rnacentral:rRNA from 1 species